CACGUAGGGCGCAAGCGUUUGUCCGGAAUUAUUGGGCGUAAAGAGCUCGUAGGCGGUCUGUUGCGUCCGCUGUGAAAACUCGGGGCUUAACCCCGAGCCUGCAGUGGAUACGGGCAGACUAGAGGUAGGUAGGGGAGAAUGGAAUUCCCGGUGUAGCGGUGAAAUGCGCAGAUAUCGGGAAGAACACCCGUGGCGAAGGCGGUUCUCUGGGACGGUACUGACGCUGAGACGCGAAAGCGUGGGGAGCGAACAGG
rnacentral:rRNA from 1 species